UUUUGAGUCAAGUGGUAACUCGACUAUAUAAAAUACAUUAAAGACGAUACUCGGAAAAGGUGGGCGAAAAUUUAUAACCUAUACAACACUACCGUUUGCGCACGGUACGUUAAAAAUAAAUGCCGUUUUUCUUUGUGAUCCAGUCGAGAAUGAUCACGAAAAUGAUUCAAUGAUUACUAUUCAUCAAUUCAAAAUUGAAUACAAUGGGAGGAAAAAAGGUGUGAGAGGAUCGUAAAAGUUUUCACGCUCGUUCACGCUAUUUUCACGCUCGUCUCCUCUGAUCUUGGUUAAGCGUAUAACAUCAUCAACGACAACAGCACCAGCACUAGCACCAGCAACAGCAGCUGGGUUCAAUGGUGUAACGUUCGAUUAGCCCGGAUGACCGGAUCCUAGCCAAGCCGAGUCGUAAACUCGUGGAGAGUUCAACGAGGCGACAGGAAAUCCGGACGGCCACUCUUCACGUAAAAGACCAACAACUCUUCUCAGUUAACAACUGGACACGAAUGUCCAAGAACCUUUUGUCGGUCAAUGACUCCACCUUCGUACCUCCUAGUUGGCAAAGGGUCGACACACCAGGUGGAGGAAUACGCUCUGAGGCCAACAGAGAAGAAUCUACUCGUCAGUUAAAAGUAUUCAGCACUUAAAGGGUUAAUAGCAAUUAAUAGGAAAUUUAUAUGUUUCUACACCCUCUCCUGAAUUGCUGCAGCACCCACCAGGGAGCAGUGGCGCCCACUUUGGGAAUCACACACUGCCAUAAUAUAUAUUACAGUAAUCAAAUUUGUAAUGAAUCAAAUUGGCUCACGACAGUCCGUAAAUCUAAUGUUAAAUAAAAAAAAAAAAAAGAACAAUCGAUG